rnacentral:rRNA from 1 species
GCUUUUCUUGUUGUUAUUUUUUAUUAUUUUGACGUUUUAUUGAAAAAUCAUUUUGGGUUAUUGUAUUUUUGUGAUUUAAUUUUUUUACGAUAGUUUACUUGUACUGUAAGGGUUAGUGUGAAAUUGUUAAUGUUUUUUUAGAAGUUGAUUUUGUUUGUUGUACCUUGUGUAUCAGGGUUUACUGAAUUUUAUUAUUUAUUUUUAUUUCCCGAUUUUGAAGGAGUUAAUGGUUUAUGUUAGUUACUGUUUCAGUAGUAUUAAUAAUAUUCUAUUGGUAGUGAAAUGUUAUUCGUCUUUAGUGGUCUCUGGUUUUUCAAGAAAUGAAUUUAAUUCAUGCUUCCUAUUUAAUUUUUAUUGUUGUUUUACUUAUUUUUAUUGGGUGUUAAGAUUAUGGGGGAUUAGCUCCUUAUUUGAUUUUUAUAAUCUUUUAUUUGUAUUUAGUUUUGUGGAUUUUAUGGUGAUUUUCAAUUUGAUUAUGUUAAAAUUUUAUUUGUUCUCUUUUUUAUUUUUUAUUAGAUUUAAUUUGUUUAUUGAUAUGUUUUCUUUAUUUUUGUUUGGUUUGUAAUUAUUGUGUAAUUAGUAAAUUCUGUUUAUUGUGUUUAGUUUGAAUUGGUGUGUUAGAUUCUUUUGAGGAAUUCGGCAAAUAUUUCAUGUCCGCCUGUUUAACAAAAACAUCUUUUCUCGUUAGUUUUUGAAGUAUGGCCUGCCCACUGACGUUAUUUUUGUUGAAGGGCCGCGGUAUUUUGACCGUGCAAAGGUAGCAUAAUCAUUAGUUCUUUAAUUGUGAUCUGGUAUGAAUGGCUUGACGAGACAUGGGCUGUCUUAUAUGGUAUGAAUAUGUUAUUGAAUUUGGUUUUUGAGUUAAAAUUCUUAAAUGUUUUUAUGGGACGAGAAGACCCUAUAGAGUUUGACAUUUAAUUUAAUUGUUUUUGUUCGUUUGUUUUGAUUGGUUAAUUAUUUUAAGUGUUUUGUUGGGGUGAUGGGAGGAAUAUUUUGUAACUCCUCUUUACUUUUAUAUACUUAUUUGUAUUUGUUUUGAUCCAUUUAUUUUGAUUAUAAGACUAAAUUACCUUAGGGAUAACAGCGUUAUCUUCCUUGAGAGUUCUUAUUGGCGGGGAGGUUUGCGACCUCGAUGUUGGAUUAAGAUGAAUUUCCGGUGCAGGAGCUGGAAUCGAUUAGGUCUGUUCGACCUUUAAAAUCUUACAUGAUCUGAGUUCAGACCGGCGUGAGCCAGGUUGGUUUCUAUCUAUAAUUGUGUUUUUAUACCUUAGUACGAGAGGACCGGGUAUUUGGAAUAAUUUUGUUUGGUAUGUGUUUUUUUAAUGUAGUGGCUAUUUUGGCAGAUAAGUGCGUUGGAUUUAGAAUCUAUUAA